rnacentral:rRNA from 1 species
CCUACGGGUGGCAGCAGUGAGGAAUAUUGGUCAAUGGACGAGAGUCUGAACCAGCCAAGUCGCGUGAAGGAUGACUGCCCUAUGGGUUGUAAACUUCUUUUAUAUGGGAAUAAAAUGUUCCAUGUGAGGGAUUUUGUCUGUACCAUACGAAUAAGGAACGGCUAACUCCGUGCCAGCAGCCGCGGUAAUACGGAGGAUCCGAGCGUUAUCCGGAUUUAUUGGGUUUAAAGGGAGCGUAGGUGGUAUAUUAAGUCAGUUGUGAAAGUUUGCGGCUUAACCGUAAAAUUGCAGUUGAAACUGGCAGUCUUGAGUACAGUAGAGGUGGGCGGAAUUCGUGGUGUAGCGGUGAAAUGCUUAGAUAUCACGAAGAACUCCGAUUGCGAAGGCAGCUCACUAGACUGCAACUGACACUGAGGCUCGAAAGUGUGGGUAUCAAACAGGAUUAGAUACCCUUGUAGUC